CUGCUGCGACCUUUUAGCCCCUAAUUAUAGAUAAACCUUAUACCUCAUUCGAAAGCUUAUAACGAGAGGAACAAAAUGUAUAUAGUCAACAUGUUCAGCAACGCAUAUUAGAGGACUUAAAUGUCGAAAUACGCGUGAAAGUUAAGAAAUAGCCAAUUUUGAAUAAUGAAAUGGAUAUUUUGAAUAAUGGAAUGGACUGCUGCGACCCUUUAGCCCC
rnacentral:lncRNA from 1 species